GUCGAGCGGAUGAAGGGAGCUUGCUCCUGGAUUCAGCGGCGGACGGGUGAGUAAUGCCUAGGAAUCUGCCUGGUAGUGGGGGAUAACGUCCGGAAACGGGCGCUAAUACCGCAUACGUCCUGAGGGAGAAAGUGGGGGAUCUUCGGACCUCACGCUAUCAGAUGAGCCUAGGUCGGAUUAGCUAGUUGGUGGGGUAAAGGCCUACCAAGGCGACGAUCCGUAACUGGUCUGAGAGGAUGAUCAGUCACACUGGAACUGAGACACGGUCCAGACUCCUACGGGAGGCAGCAGUGGGGAAUAUUGGACAAUGGGCGAAAGCCUGAUCCAGCCAUGCCGCGUGUGUGAAGAAGGUCUUCGGAUUGUAAAGCACUUUAAGUUGGGAGGAAGGGCAGUAAGUUAAUACCUUGCUGUUUUGACGUUACCAACAGAAUAAGCACCGGCUAACUUCGUGCCAGCAGCCGCGGUAAUACGAAGGGUGCAAGCGUUAAUCGGAAUUACUGGGCGUAAAGCGCGCGUAGGUGGUUCAGCAAGUUGGAUGUGAAAUCCCCGGGCUCAACCUGGGAACUGCAUCCAAAACUACUGAGCUAGAGUACGGUAGAGGGUGGUGGAAUUUCCUGUGUAGCGGUGAAAUGCGUA
rnacentral:rRNA from 2 species